UUCUCCUGGAAACGGGUGGUAAUGCCGGAUGCUCCGACUCCUCGCAUGGGGUGUCGGGAAAGAUUUCAUCGGUAUGGGAUGGGGUCGCGUCCUAUCAGGUAGUCGGCGGGGUAACGGCCCACCGAGCCUACGACGGGUAGCCGGCCUGAGAGGGCGACCGGCCACAUUGGGACUGAGAUACGGCCCAGACUCCUACGGGAGGCAGCAGUGGGGAAUAUUGCACAAUGGGCGCAAGCCUGAUGCAGCGACGCCGCGUGCGGGAUGACGGCCUUCGGGUUGUAAACCGCUUUUGAUCGGGAGCAAGCCUUCGGGUGAGUGUACCUUUCGAAUAAGCACCGGCUAACUACGUGCCAGCAGCCGCGGUAAUACGUAGGGUGCAAGCGUUAUCCGGAAUUAUUGGGCGUAAAGGGCUCGUAGGCGGUUCGUCGCGUCCGGUGUGAAAGUCCAUCGCUUAACGGUGGAUCUGCGCCGGGUACGGGCGGGCUGGAGUGCGGUAGGGGAGACUGGAAUUCCCGGUGUAACGGUGGAAUGUGUAGAUAUCGGGAAGAACACCA
rnacentral:rRNA from 1 species